rnacentral:rRNA from 1 species
AACGAACGGUGGCGGCGUGGAUAAGACAUGCAAGUCGAACGGGAUAUUUUGGGUAGCAAUAUUCAAAAUGUUCAGUGGCGCAAGGGUGCGUAACACGUGGGCAAUCUGCCUGGGGGCGCGGGAUAGCUCGGCGAAAGUCGAAUUAAUACCGCAUACGGCUACUGAGGACAUCCUCGGGACGCUAAAGACGGCGUAAGCUGUCAUUCCCAGAUGAGCCCGCGGCCUAUCAGCUAGUUGGUGAGGUAAUGGCUCACCAAGGCUAUGACGGGUAGCUGGUCUGAGAGGACGACCAGCCACACUGGAACUGAGACACGGUCCAGACACCUACGGGUGGCAGCAGUCGAGAAUUUUUCUCAAUGGGCGAAAGCCUGAAGGAGCGACGCCGCGUGGAGGAUGAAGGUCUUCGGACUGUAAACUCCUGUCAUUUGGGAACAAACCCUCCGUUUAACUGACGGAAGGCUGAUAGUACCAGAAGAGGAAGAGACGGCUAACUCUGUGCC